rnacentral:rRNA from 1 species
UACGUAGGGGGCAAGCGUUGUCCGGAUUUAUUGGGCGUAAAGCGCUCGCAGGUGGUCCGAUGCGUCGUGCGUGAAAGACCCCGGCUCAACUGGGGAGGGUCGUGCGAUACGGUCGGACUGGAGGCCAGUAGGGGGAUGCGGAAUUCCUGGUGUAGCGGUGAAAUGCGCAGAUAUCAGGAGGAACACCGGUGGCGAAGGCGGUUCUCUGGGCAUGUCCUGACGCUGAGGAGCGAAAGUGUGGGGAGCGAACAGG